CUUCAGUGAACGCUCCAAAGAAGGUGUGCUGGGUACCGCAUUGGAGUCCUGAAAGGGCACCCCCUACCAGCCAAGUCAAUUCUGCACAGCACGAGUUCUUGAAGCGGCGUAUUUCUGUACACGAAUGCAGCUGGAUGGUCACAAGAGCUUCGGACAUCAAAAAGGAGAGUGCCUGCCGUGAAGACAGCAUGGACACCAAGUCGAUUAAGCCGCCAAGCGGCCAUGCCAAGUGGGCGCUUGCUCAGUAGUUUACGGUAGCACACGCUGACCCAGAAGGAAAUAUCCCACAUGCAGGGAAAGCAAGGCCAAUCCAAGUACCGAAUCUGAGCACCCGGAAAGAUGGCUUCGGUCAUUUUCCUGAAUGUGCCAAACUUCUCUACGCUAUGCGAUGCAGGAACAAGAACUGCAAGAGAAAAACUAGAGUUAAAUGCAUGAAAUGCAAUGUGUUUCUUUGCCUUCUAGCAAAGAAUUGCUUUUAUGACUUCCAUAACCCUCAGCACUAAUGUCGACAUCCGUGGACACCUCAGUUUGCCUUUAAAAUAUCAAAAUGGAUUUAUAAUUUUUGUUACAUAUAUUAUUGAGGAGGCACUUAAUAAAAUUUGUCAUUCACUUACUACUUACCUCUUAAGUGCCCCUUUUCUUUUUCGAAAAGUAGCCUAAAAGUGCCAUAUAUUUUUUAUUUAGAAGUUUUAUUCCUCUAGUAAUACAGAUAAAAUUUCAGAAGUUUAUUACACAGAAAUCAGCGGCGGCGAAAAAACAAAUGCCCCAACUAAAACGAGUGCUGCCAUCUAUGAUCAGCGCCGCAAAAACUACUUGGACAAGCCUAGCUUGUCCGUGGGAUUGAGGGCUACCGAAAAAACCACUGGACGAGAUGAGCUCGUCCAUGGCAUUUUUAGCCAAAAAGUGGCCUACAAGCUCAACUCGUCUAAGGCAUUUAAAGGGUUAAUGUCACGAGUGAGUUCAGUUUAAUUUUAUAAAGUAGGCCAGUUUAUUACCCAGAUUUUUUUUGCAUUCUGAUAAUGCAAAUGUGUAUAUGUGAGUGAAACUCAACUAUAUCACAAUUGUUUUGUUUUACCUAAAAGGAGAAUUUGUCUUGCA
rnacentral:misc_RNA from 1 species